GAUGAACGCUGGCGGCGUGCCUAAUACAUGCAAGUCGAGCGAACAGACGAGGAGCUUGCUCCUCUGACGUUAGCGGCGGACGGGUGAGUAACACGUGGAUAACCUACCUAUAAGACUGGGAUAACUUCGGGAAACCGGAGCUAAUACCGGAUAAUAUAUUGAACCGCAUGGUUCAAUAGUGAAAGACGGUUUUGCUGUCACUUAUAGAUGGAUCCGCGCCGCAUUAGCUAGUUGGUAAGGUAACGGCUUACCAAGGCAACGAUGCGUAGCCGACCUGAGAGGGUGAUCGGCUACACCGGAACUGAGACACGGUCCAGACUCCUACGGGAGGCAGCAGUAGGGAAUCUUCCGCAAUGGGCGAAAGCUUGACGGAGCAACGCCGCGUGAGUGAUGAAGGUCUUCGGAUCGUAAAACUCUGCUAUUAGGGAAGAACAAAUGUGUAAGUAACUAUGCACGUCUUGACGGUACCUAAUCAGAAAGCCACGGCUAACUACGUG
rnacentral:rRNA from 1 species